rnacentral:rRNA from 1 species
AACGAACGCUGGCGGCAUGCCUAACACAUGCAAGUCGAACGAGACCUUCGGGUCUAGUUGCGCACGGGUGCGUAACGCGUGGGAACCUGCCCUUAGGUUCGGAAUACCUCCCCGAAAGGGGUGCUAAUACCGGAUAAUUUCUUCGGACCAAAGAUUUAUCGCCGUUGGAUGGGCCCGCGUUGGAUUAGCUAGUUGGUAGGGUAAAAGCCUACCAAGGCGACGAUCCAUAGCUGGUCUGAGAGGAGGAUCAGCCACACUGGGACUGAGACACGGCCCAGACUCCUACGGGAGGCAGCAGUGGGGAAUAUUGGACAAUGGGCGAAAGCCUGAUCCAGCAAUGCCGCGUGAGUGAUGAAGGCCUUAGGGUUGUAAAGCUCUUUUACCCGGGAUGAUAAUGACAGUACCGGGAGAAUAAGCUCCGGCUAACUCCGUG